UAUGUUUAUAUAUUAGAAAAAAUUAAAUUUCAAAAUUUUUGUUUCUAUUCAAACCUAAAUUUUUUUUGGCUUUAGCGAUAUUAAAUAUGGCAACUGUUCUGCACAACAAAUAUAGAAAUGUUUUCAAUCUAUUGAAAACCCAUAGUGUGUGGUCCUUAAAAUACCUAAAGCAUUAUACUGAGAAACUUCACGAGAGGGGCAAGGCCAUGGAAAACGUUUACUUCCUGAAAAUACAAUAUGAACAGCUGCGUACGUUAAGACGGGCAAAGCUAGCUAAACGAAGGCAACUUGAUAGGAAUAUCGUGGAGCUAAAUGAUAGGCUAGAGGAAAUUGAGAACGCGCUAAGAGAACGUCGAGUAAAACUUGCUUAGUCAUGUUAUUUUACUAUAGGAUCUAGAGGAAUGCCUGACAAUAUCCACACCAAAAACCUUGACAGAGGCGGACCAAAUGUGAAUUUUUCCACCGAGAAAUGUUCGCAACUACGAUCCCUUAUAUUUUUAGAUAGAGUCAAACCACAAAGACUCGCUCAUGAAUCUGUUGCAAAUAUAAAAGCAACAGAUUCAUGAACGAGUUUGUCCAUGUUGGGUUCUAUUUCGAAACGCCAUUUAAACCUGAGUAGGUGCUUUUGGAAAAUAUAACAAAAAAAAUUCUUCAAUCAAAAUCUGUAUUUCGAAAUAUCGUUCAUGGGAAACUACAGUUUAAGGGCCGCUGUAAAAAUGUUUUGGUACAUAAAUAGCUUCUCUAUAAAAACCAUAAUCCCAGCUAUGGUAGGUCCAUUUAGAACCAGGCAUUACGGCAAUAAAAUUCGUGAAAGGGGCAGAGCAAGUGAAAACGUUCAUUUUCGGAAAAUACAAUACGAACAGUUUCAACGUAUUAUCGAAAAUCAAAGGCAAAUCAGGAAUGAAAUAAAGAAAUUGGGUAAGGAGCUGGAGGAUCUGAAGCGAAAUAUGGAGAAAGGCGACGAAAAUUCAACCCACAAGGAUUGAUAAGCAUACGUACCUUACAAAAUGCUGUCGGUUUAUAAGGUGCUCAAGAAGUCCAUAUUUGAUGAUUUACCACACGGAUUUUUGAAUAUCAUGUCUCGAUCUUAUACUAAGGAGAUCUACGAAAGAGCCAGGGCCGUAGAGAAUGUGCACUUUUUGAAAAUUCAAAGGGAGCAGCUGCAAAGGCUGCGCAACAAAAUGAUCAAGGAGCUGAAAAAAACGGAAUAUGAAGGGGAUGUGGACGCCAAUCUGGAGGUGAAAGAAUCACGAGCUGCGAGAACACAGCAAGCAGAUAAUUGAAAUUGUGUUCCUAAAAAAAAUGUAUACGGCAAAAUUAUGGCCAGAACAGCAUUUACAAAACAGUAGGCAAACGUAAAUCUGUUCCAAAUACAGGCUAUUUUGAACAAAACAAAAAUCAAAAUUCCAAAUUCAAUAUUCUACAAUGUGGAGCUGCUUCAGGCCCAGAUGUGUGAUGGAAUGUGUCAUUAGAUGGAGUCUCUCGUUCCCUCAACAGCUGCGCUUGUUAUCAGACAACGAAAAAGCUAAAAUUCUCGAGGCGAAGAACAUGGCCAUGUGGAGGAAACAGAUUAGCGAGUUGGUUCGGAAGCGUGAAAUGCUUGCACUUAUAAGCGAUUACAUUCAGCUACAGGAACGUUAUGUGGAGUCCAGACUGCGAAGCAAUAAAAGGUUGCUAAAUUAUGCAAAAAGAAUUUGGAGCAUGCGCAGAAAAGAGUCGUCUUGAGAUAUAUAGAUAGAUGAAUAAUUGCCUUAGAAAUUUUGAUCUUAAAGUGCUGGUCCUAUGAUUAUAAUAUCUCUUCAUUUUAUUUAAAAUAGUUUGUAUUUCUCAUUUACAAAUGCUUUACAAGAAGCGUUACAUAACAGGCGCCAAUAAAAUGAAAAUGAAA